rnacentral:rRNA from 1 species
UACUGUAGGGUCCGAGCGUUGUCCGGAAUUACUGGGCGUAAAGAGCUCGUAGGUGGUUUGUCGCGUUGUCCGUGAAAACUCACAGCUUAACUGUGGGCGUGCGGGCGAUACGGGCAGACUGGAGUACUGCAGGGGAGACUGGAAUUCCUGGUGUAGCGGUGGAAUGCGCAGAUAUCAGGAAGAACACCCGUGGCGAAGGCGGCUCUCUGGGACGUGACUGACGCUGAGACGCGAAAGCGUGGGGAGCGAACAGG